ACCUUGCAGAGCCCCGGGAUGUCACCGAGAUGGGGCCCUACAGCUCGCAGUUCCCUGCUAAGGAUGAUCCCUAUGGCUAUGGGGCCACGCUGCCACCCGAGCUCUUCGGUGAUGACACCACUGAUGAUGCCGGGGGAGCUGUGCUGGAGGCCACCACCCGCUCCCCCACAUCCCCCUACGCCCUCCUGGUGGUGGGGGGCAGCCG